GACGAACCGAGCGAACGUUGUUCGGAAUCGCUGGGCUUAAAGGGCGCGUAGGCGGGUUCUCAAGUCCGGGGUGAAAUCCCACAGCUCAACUGUGGAACUGCCUCGGAUACUGGGGGCCUCGAGGGUGGUAGGGGUAUGCGGAACUAUCGGUGGAGCGGUGAAAUGCGUUGAUAUCGUUUGGAACGCCAAUGGUGAAAACAGCUCGCUGGGGAUGUACCGACGCUGAGACACGAAAGCCAGGGGAGCGAACGGG
rnacentral:rRNA from 1 species